AGCUGCAUAUAUUGCCCUUACAGUUGUUAUUGUGCAAGCCCAGGCUUUAGGACUACCUGUGUAUUGUAAACCAUUUCAUUUGUAUGCUUGGGACAAUUGUAAAACCAUGGCCGCGGUCUGUGCACAAGAGCAAGGAGGCGGUAUGCGUCCCAUAGCAUUCUUUUCCAAAGUAGUUCGAGCUCCGGUACAGGGUAUGCCGGCGUGUCUCAGAGCAUUGAUAGCAUGUGCAAUGGCUGUUGAAACUGCUACUACUAUCACACUAGGGCAUCCUACAAUACUUUAUGCCAGUCACCAGGUCACUCAGCUGACAAAUCUCACCACACAACACAUGACAGCCCAGCGCUUCAGUGGUUAUGAGAUUCUUUUUUUAAAUACCCAGAAUCUGUCUUUUGGAUUAAACAAGGUUUAGAGAAAGAUCAAAAUGAUCUGUUCUCUAAAGAGGGGAGAAUAGGCAUACUUGAAGAAUAGGCAUACUUGAAGCAAGCUGAUUUAUUUUCAUCAGUCAGGCACAUAGCAAGCACCAUUCAAUUCUUCAUGAAUUCAUUUUAUAUUAGGAAUCUCAGGCAGCAUGUACAGUCUUUUGUAAGAUCGUGUGAACGCUGCUCUUUUUACACACUUACAGAUUGAUUUUAUUCAUGUAUCCAAAAUUGGUAAGAAACAGCAAUACUUACUGGUCAUAGUUGAUCAGUUUAGUAGAUGGCAUGAGGCCUUUGUGACAUCUAGGGAAGAUGCUAGUGAAGAUUAUUGUUACUGAAAUUAUUCCCCGGUAUUGCUGCCCUCUGCAGAUUGGCUCUGAUAAUGGCCCGGUUUUUGCAAGUGGGGUUGCCCAGGAACUUGCUAAAUUCUUGCAAGUUACCUGGUAGUUUCAUAUACCCUAUCAUCCACAGAAUACAGGGGUAGUUGAAAGGAUGAAUAGGACUAUUAAGGAAAAGCCCAGAAUUUACCCAGGAACAUGGGUAAAUUGGACAAGAUAUCUACCAGCUAUUUUAGCUGAGAUAAGAAUGAAUCCCCACAAGGUGAAUUGUUGAUAAAACCGAAUGGUAUGUAUGACAAUGUUUCUUCGCAGUUUUCCCUUACCUUCACAGGAACCUACUCAUUCAUACCAGCCCGGUGACAAGGUGUAUAUCCGUCAGUUGAACAGGACCAAGAAAGGAGGAUACCCUUUUGGACCACCUGCUACUGUGAUUGCUGUACCCAGAACCGCUGUCCACAGAUUCCCACGACAUCUGGAUUCACGCAUCCCGAGUGAAGCUGUGUCCAAAGAGGGGAACCAAGGAAGACAACACCACUCCUCGCUCGGAAACAGAAGAAUUUCUCCUCAGCGAAGCAUCAUGGCUUUUACACCAUAUCGUAGAUUGAGAGGAUCAUACGUACCUGAGACCAAGAUUAUGUUGUGCGCUAUGCUUUCUGGAGUUGUUAUACUCCCUCUGAUAUUGUUCCUUGAAUGCCAUUAUGAGUACAAGUCAAUGGCAAGUUCUGGAAAAAGACUCUGACAUGAUGAACAAUUCUUCAAUACCCCCAGCCCAAUUAGGCCUUAGCCCCUCAUCUAGCAUUCGUCACACACGCCCCCUCAAGAACCUUUCUCCACCACCUUUCUAUCAGCAUGCAAUAUGCAAUCAUUCAUUCACUGAACGCAUUUGGAUGAAUUGGACAAAUAGUAACCCUUAUAAGUACCAGUUACCCAUAUGAAAUGUGUCUACAGCUAAUGAAACCGAUGCAUUAUGUUUGUUUGAAGGUUCACAGAAAAUUGUUAGAUCUUAUAACGCAGAAAUGUGCACAGUUAAGGUUGCAUAUCAAUGUAAACAGACAGGCCUUAUUACUUUUAAUAAUGAUUAUAUAACUGGUAUCAUUAAUUGGAGAAGGGGACAAAUGUUAGUCAUUAUGAACGACACUGCAAUUGAGAACUAUACACUACCUUAUAUUUUUACACCUUACUGUCCUUUAUCCUCUACCAUAGAACCAAAAGUCAACAACGACACACACACACACACCUAUUCCGUCCACAUUUAUUAAUACAACUGCCUUCUUACAAGCUGUACAUGUGUCAUUAAAAGUCACUACUCUUGUUGUAACAUUAUGUAAUACAACAAACAAAGGCAGAAAAGGGAAUGGUAUGACACACUGUUAGGAGGUGCUGGAACCACUAUGGGUAUACUAAAUAGUUAUAGAUAUGGAGACCCUCAAGAAUAAGUUAAACACAGCCAGCAUGCAUAUAGGGACUGGUUUUCAUGCUAGUGCAAAUUGGGCUCCAAUUGUUGUUAAAUCACAGGUUACAGGAUUGGAUUUAGAUAAAUCAAUGUAUAAUUAUUUAGAUAAUUUAACUGUUGCAACUAUGAAAUUCACUACAGGUCUAGGUAACUGGAGUAUUUGUGCCAUCAGGUAUUUAUGGAUACAACAACAAGGAUUGGCAUUAGAAAACACACUAAUGAUUCCUAAACUAGAGAAGAUUAGAGGAAUGUGUAACCUCACAGAUAAUGAUUGGUUACUUCUAAAACCCCAAUCCAGUAAAUGCAAUGGAUGGUUAACUGGUAAUGUUUCACAUUUUUUCAUGCUCAUGCUAUUUAACAUUAUAUCAUACAUUAUCAAAGGAUGUUAAAUUAGCUUGUCAAUUUAACACAUUACCAGUACCAGUUUAUGAUCUUUUUGCCAAGAAUUUAACCUGGUGGGCACCCACAUACACAGGGGACUAUAUUUUUCCCAAAGAUAACACACACAGGUAGCCACACAUAUCCUAAAAGGAGAACUCCUUAAGGUGAGUUCACAAAUUCAGAAUGAUUUAGCCCAUCAUUGGUACAAUGCUUUACUGGUUGGUCCCCUACUGGAUCUCAGAUAAUGAAAUCAUUCUUCUAUCAUUUUGUUAUUAUAGUCCUGAUUUUAUUGUGUAUGAUUUUAUAUAACUGUCACCUUACUUGUACAUUGAGGAAGAGAGUACAGAAAUGAAUCCAUAAUGCAGAACAGAAACAAUUAGAAAUUCUCCUCUCUGCCACUGUAGAGUAUCAACCCAUCUUUAAACUGGGCCUUAGGAAUUACCACAUGGGAAUCGAGGUGAAGAAAUUAAUGAAAGUCCCGCAGGGAGUGACUAGCACCCCUGAAAAUACCAUGUGGAAGUUUCUCUGUCCUGGUAAGAUUUUAUCGAUAAGAUGAGCAAUUGUUUUAUUGCUCAAAGAGGGGAAUGUAAGAAUAUUAAAUAGUUAACUUGUUUAUAUGUAUUUUAUGCUUUUAUAAGGUUUAUAACAUGAUUAUUGCUGACUGAAGGGAUAUUGAAUACUUAAAGUCAAUAUGCUGACUGUGACAGACUAAGGUAUUUCUUCUAUAGGAUGUAAGACAAUGCUAAAAUUUCAGGAUGUCUUGCCCAUUCCGAUUUCAGGAUAUUCUUUUCCAGACGUAUGCAAAAGCUUAUCUUUCCAUUGUCAGAAUAACGUAAUAUAAGGAAGUAAUAAAUCUUAUAGUCUGUACUGUAAUGAAUGGCAUAUACCAUGGCUAAUGUAAGCAAACUAUGUAUAAAAGCCAGCUCUGGAAUACACUCAUUUGAG
rnacentral:lncRNA from 1 species